rnacentral:rRNA from 1 species
GACAGAGGGUGCAAACGUUGUUCGGAAUUACUGGGCGUAAAGCGCGUGUAGGCGGCUGAGCAAGUCGGGCGUGAAAUCCCAUGGCUCAACCAUGGAAGUGCACCCGAAACUGCAUAGCUAGAGUCCUGGAGAGGAAGGUGGAAUGCUUGGUGUAGAGGUGAAAUUCGUAGAUAUCAAGCGGAACACCGGUGGCGAAGGCGGCCUUCUGGACAGUGACUGACGCUGAGACGCGAAAGCGUGGGGAGCAAACAGG